rnacentral:lncRNA from 1 species
GGAAUAAAAUGCUAUGUUCCUAAUAAAAAAAAAUGUAAUUAGUUUUCACACUGAUUUUUAAAUAUCCUGCUAAUAAAAUCUUUGAAGUUCAAAAAUAUUUUUGACAAUUGCAAGUUGUUUUUUCCAUUUUAAUAAAGAAUAACAAAUAUGGUCCUUAAUGCCUUGAUCAGAAUACGCUAUCUUAUAAUUGUGGUAAUCAUCAUUAUCAUUAUCAUCAAUGCAAUUACUUUGUAUACAAUGAAAACUUGUGAAGGGAAAUUAAAUCAACUUGAUGAUGAUUUUUGUGUUCAACUUUCUUAAGGAAAUUGGUC